rnacentral:rRNA from 1 species
CAUGCGGCGGCCUGACCGUGCAAGUCGAGCGGAUGAAGAGAGCUUGCUCUCUGAUUCAUCGGCGGACGGGUGAGUAAUGCCUAGGAAUCUGCCUGGUAGUGGGGGACAACGUCUCGAAAGGGACGCUAAUACCGCAUACCUCCUACGGGAGAAAGCAGGGGACCUUCCGGCCUUGCGCUAUCAUAUGAGCCUAGGUCGGAUUAGCUAGUUGGUGAGGUAAUGGCUCACCAAGGCGACUAUCCGUAACUGGUCUGAGAGGACCAUCAGUCGCACUGGAACUGACACACGGUCCACACUCCUACCGGAGGCAGCAUUGGGGAAUAUUGGACAAUGGGCGAAAGCCUGAUCCACCCAUGCCGCGUGUGUGAAGAAGGUCUUCUGAUUGUAAAGCACUUUAAGUUGGGAGGAAGGGCAGUAAGCGAAUACCUUGCUGUUUUGACGUUACCGACAGAAUAAGCACCGGCUAACUCUGUGCCAGCAGCCGCGGUAAU